AUUGAACGCUGGCGGCAGGCCUAACACAUGCAAGUCGAGCGGAUGAGUGGAGCUUGCUCCAUGAUUCAGCGGCGGACGGGUGAGUAAUGCCUAGGAAUCUGCCUGGUAGUGGGGGACAACGUUUCGAAAGGAACGCUAAUACCGCAUACGUCCUACGGGAGAAAGCAGGGGACCUUCGGGCCUUGCGCUAUCAGAUGAGCCUAGGUCGGAUUGGCUAGUUGGUGAGGUAAAGGCUCACCAAGGCGACGAUCCGUAACUGGUCUGAGAGGAUGAUCAGUAACACUGGAACUGAGACACGGUCCAGACUCCUACGGGAGGCAGCAGUGGGGAAUAUUGGACAAUGGGCGAAAGCCUGAUCCAGCCAUGCCGCGUGUGUGAAGAAGGUCUUCGGAUUGUAAAGCACUUUAAGUUGGGAGGAAGGGCAGUAAGUUAAUACCUUGCUGUUUUGACGUUACCGACAGAAUAAGCACCGGCUAACUCUGUGCCAGCCGCCGCCGUAACAC
rnacentral:rRNA from 1 species